CAGAAAAUCACCAUCAUUGAGGCCUUUACAGAGCGAAUUGUCCCCCAGAGCUCUGGCAGAGAGACAGAGCUCAGACUAGCUAGCACAAGCGCCAAUGCGUACGUGGGUGAGUCUCCCGUCGGCCUUUUAACAGAUUGAGCUUUGAUUUUUUUGUCUGAUAUUUAACUCAUCCCUUGGAAAAAUAAAACAAAUGAUUUUUAAGUUAUAAUUAGCAAAUAAGAUAAGUUAUUUUGGAUGAGUACUAGGCCGUAUGAUAACUCACCAACGCGAGUUUACUAGACUUUGGGAUUUAUUGAGGUAUGGUUGAGCAUGCAGCGUCAUUCCAUUCAAAAAAAAAGAAAGAAAGAAAAGAUUUGCAGGUAUUUACAAGAUAUACAAGAAUUGUCUUACUGAAAAGCUUAUAUUAAUGUUUUAAAUCAGUUUUGAAUCUAGAUAUCCAAAUAGUUUAUUUUCAGAAUUUGAUUUUCAAACGCGGGCCAAAUUUCAUAACGCGGGCGACGGGAAACUGAACAUCGAGUUUUAGCGGCCAUAUUAUCGAAUGAAAUACAAAAACAGAAGGAAAUAAUAUAGAGAUAAACGAGAAGAAAAAAUUGACUGUAUCAUUAUCCAGGUAUUUAUUGCAAUUUUGAUUACUUUAUAGACGAGGUCCCAUGGAAUUGAAUAUUGUAAUUAUGAUUGUUGUGAGUCGCAUUGUCGACCGACCUGGACUGAAAAACAACAUUGCCGUCUGCCGAUCCUUGCUGGGCAGCCUGGGCUAGCUAGCGCGCUGAGCUGCGGCUCGCUAGCUCCGAUCCGAGGCGUUAAUUGCGUAAUGCUUUCAAUUUCGAGAUCAGAGCGGACCCAUUUCGUGGUACAAAGUCACC